rfam:Xenopus tropicalis strain Nigerian Chr07_contig_4181, whole genome shotgun sequence.
CCAGGCUGAGGUAGUAGGUUGUAUAGUUGAGGAUAACACCAAAGGAGAUAACUGUACAGCCUCCUAUCUUUCCCUGG